UACGUAGGGUGCAAGCGUUGUCCGGAAUUAUUGGGCGUAAAGGGCUCGUAGGCGGUCCGUCACGUCGGGAGUGAAAACUUGGGGCUUAACCCCAAGCCUGCUUCCGAUACGGGCGGACUAGAGGUAGGCAGGGGAGAACGGAAUUCUCGGUGUAGCAGUGAAAUGCGUAGAGAUCGAGAGGAACACCAGUGGCGAAGGCGAGUUCCUGGACAAGUCCUGACGCUGAGGCACGAAAGCCAGGGGAGCAAACAGG
rnacentral:rRNA from 1 species